UUGGAUAACAGGUUGAAAUUCCUGUACUGCUUAUGGACAGAACUGUGGGGACGCAGAAGGAGGGCACGAGCCGGAAAUGGAAAAGCCGGUACGAGCGUAUAGCAGUCAUGCAGGCAAAACCGCAUGAAAAAUGUAAAGCGUUAUGUGGAUCGAACAUUAGCAGAGAAGCGUGUGAGCCAGCUGCCAAGAAAAGCCGCUAUUGUUUCAUAAGUACCCGUACCGUAAACCGACACAGGUGGAUGAGGAGAGAAUCCUAAGGCCGGCGGGAGAAGUGUUGUUAAGGAACUCGGCAAAAUGACUCCGUAACUUCGGGAGAAGGAGUGCCACAGAGAUGUGGCCGCAGAGAAAUGGCCCAGGCAACUGUUUAGCAAAAACACAGGUCUAUGCAAAACCGAAAGGUGAGGUAUAUGGGCUGACGCCUGCCCGGUGCUGGAAGGUUAAGAGGAGAGGUUAGAGCAAUCGAAGCUUCGAAUUUAAGCCCCAGUAAACGGCGGCCGUAACAAUAACGGUCCUAAGGUAGCGAAAUUCCUUGUCGGGUAAGUUCCGACCCGCACGAAAGGCGUAAUGAUUUGGGCACUGUCUCAACAACACACCCGGUGAAAUUGAAAUACCAGUGAAGAUGCUGGUUACCUGCGCCAGGACGGAAAGACCCCAUGGAGCUUUACUCCAGUUUGAUACUGGGAUUCGGUACUGUCUGUACAGGAUAGGUGGGAGGCUAGGAAAUGGUGACGCCAGUUGCCAUGGAGCCAACCUUGGGAUACCACCCUUACAGUACUGGGUUUCUAACCUGCAGCCGUAACCCGGCUGGGGGACAAUGUCUGACGGGGAGUUUGACUGGGGCGGUCGCCUCCGGAAGAGUAUCGGAGGCGCUCAAAGGUUCCCUCAGAACGGUUGGAAACCGUUCGAAGAGUGCAAAGGCAGAAGGGAGCUUGACUGCGACACCGACGGGUGGAGCAGAUACGAAAGUAGGACUUAGUGAUCCGGUGGUAUAAAGUGGGAUUGCCAUCGCUCAACGGAUAAAAGCUACCCUGGGAUAACAGGCUUAUCACUCCCAAGAGUUCACAUCGACGGAGUGGUUUGGCACCUCGAUGUCGGCUCAUCGCAUCCUGGAGCUGUAGCAGGUUCCAAGGGUUGGGCUGUUCGCCCAUUAAAGCGGUACGCGAGCUGGGUUCAGAACGUCGUGAGACAGUUCGGUCCCUAUCCGGCGUGGGCGUAGGAUAUUUGAGAGGAGCUGUCCUUAGUACGAGAGGACCGGGAUGGACAAACCUCUGGUGUAUCUGUUGUUUUACCAAAGGCAUGGCAGAGUAGCCAAGUUUGGCAGGGAUAAACGCUGAAGGCAUCUAAGCGUGAAGCCCCCCUCAAGAUAAGAUAUCCCAUCUUCGGAGUAAGACCCCUUGAAGACUACAAGGUUGAUAGGCUUCAGGUGUAAGUGUGGUAACGCACUCAGCUGAGAAGUACUAAUAGGUCGAGGACUUAUC
rnacentral:rRNA from 1 species